UCCAUUACUUCCUCCGGUGUGCUCUCGG
rnacentral:piRNA from 1 species